GGAAGAGUAGGCUCAUUAGGCAUGUAAUGUGCUGAGUCACACUCUCUGUUGCCUGGGAAGAUCUGAGACUGGAGACUCCUUCAUUCCUAACUGGUUGUCCUCUGGAGUUCAGAGUGAGUUCCCAGAUUGCAGGGCCCAGGCAUGGGCAAACUAGCCAGGAGAGUCUUCAAUUUGGCUGAGUCUGCCCUUGCCAAAAAUCUUUUAGUGCAUUACAAUUUGAAUAUUUC
rnacentral:lncRNA from 1 species